CUACGGGUUGCUCCAGUGGGGAAUCUUGGACAAUGGGCGCAAGCCUGAUCCAGCCAUGCCGCGUGAGUGAUGAAGGCCUUAGGGUCGUAAAGCGCUUUCGCCAGAGAUGAUAAUGACAGUAUCUGGUAAAGAAACCCCGGCUAACUCCGUGCCAGCAGCGCGCGGUAAUACGGAGGGGGCUAGCGUUGUUCGGAAUUACUGGGCGUAAAGCGCGCGUAGGCGGACUAGUCAGUCAGGGGUGAACUCCCGGGGCUCAACCCCGGACCUGCCUUUGAUACUGCUAGUCUAGAGUUCGAGAGAGGUGAGUGGAAUUCGGAGUGUAGAGGUGAAAUUCGUAGAUAUUCGGAGGAACACCAGUGGCGAAGGCGGCUCACUGGCUCGAUACUGACGCUGAGGUGCGAAAGUGUGGGGAGCAAACAGGAUUAGAUACCCCCGUAGUC
rnacentral:rRNA from 1 species